GUUGCAAUCCAUGGUUACGCAGAAAAAAAAAACAAGUUUAUUACAAAACAACUCGUUAGCUUUUCAAAAGUCGUUUAGUAAUAAUCCGUCACUAUUUUAGAAAUUACCGAAGAAAUUAGCUACAAGCAGUUUUGUGACCGUGAACUUAUUACCACACCUUCUAAAAAGUGUCUAACAAUAGCACCCCCGUCAUAAUAUUUGACUCCGAAAUGGAGGACAACAAAUAAAUCAACGGCAGCAAAAUUUAACUAAUUUCAAGGAAAUCAAAAUAUACAAUUACACAAGAUGAAGUUGGUAUCACAUCUCCUACGACAUCCAUAUCGGAUGUGUCUAUGCAGAGUGACUCGGUCGAGAUUGGUCCGUCGAACAGUACCAGGCCAGGAUAGUGAAAAGAUUACCGUCAUAUUUUCGAAGUAUAUUAUACAGACUAUUGCGCUGAACUAAAAAGCUCAAAUCGAGUUAGAAAACGAGUAACACUGCAAAGAAAUCACUAAAGGGUUUAGUAUUCCGGCAGAUAUCGUUUCAUGUGAAGCAAAUCGAAUAUAUAUCGACAUUCGAAUGAGAAAACCGGUACUGAUCAGACUGCGUUUAAUACGUAAAUUUAUCAGACGAACGAACUGGCAGCCAAAUAGUUUCCUGGCUUGACUAAGUAUGAAAUAAAAUAAA